CCUACGGGGGGCAGCAGUGGGGAAUAUUGCACAAUGGGGGAAACCCUGAUGCAGCGACGCCGCGUGAGUGAAGAAGUAUUUCGGUAUGUAAAGCUCUAUCAGCAGGAACGAGACAAGACGGUACCUGACUAAGAAGCCCCGGCUAACUACGUGCCAGCAGCCGCGGUAAUACGUAGGGGGCAAGCGUUAUCCGGAAUCACUGGGUGUAAAGGGAGCGUAGACGGCUGAGCAAGCCUGAAGUGAAAGGCGGGGGCCCAACCCCCGGACUGCUUUGGGAACUGUACGGCUGGAGUGCAGGAGAGGUAAGUGGAAUUCCUAGUGUAGCGGUGAAAUGCGUAGAUAUUAGGAGGAACACCAGUGGCGAAGGCGGCUUACUGGACUGUAACUGACGUUGAGGCUCGAAAGCGUGGGGAGCAAACAGGAUUAGAUACC
rnacentral:rRNA from 1 species